rnacentral:snRNA from 1 species
ACAUCUUAAAAUUCUCAAAACAUUU